rnacentral:rRNA from 1 species
GCUUAACACAUGCAAGCCGAGGGGCAGCGGGGAGGAAGCUUGCUUUCUCCGCCGGCGACCGGCGCACGGGUGAGUAACACGUAUGCAACCUGCCCCUGUCAGGGGGACAACCCGCCGAAAGGCGGGCUAAACCCGCGUACAUGCCACCGGGGCAUCCCGGAGGCAGGAAAGGCUUCGGCCGGACAGGGAUGGGCAUGCGGCGCAUUAGGCAGUAGGCGGGGUAACGGCCCACCUAACCGACGAUGCGUAGGGGUUCUGAGAGGAAGGUCCCCCACACUGGUACUGAGACACGGACCAGACUCCUACGGGAGGCAGCAGUGAGGAAUAUUGGUCAAUGGUCGGGAGACUGAACCAGCCAAGCCGCGUGAGGGAUGAAGGUACAGAGUAUCGUAAACCUCUUUUGUCAGGGAACAAAGGCGGGGACGUGUCCCCGGAUGAGUGUACCAGAAGAAAAAGCAUCGGCUAACUCCGUGCCAGCAGCCGCGGUAAUACGGAGGAUGCGAGCGUUAUCCGGAUUUAUUGGGUUUAAAGGGUGCGCAGGCGGUCUGUUAAGUCAGCGGUCAAAGCCCGGGGCUCAACCCCGGCCCGCCGUUGAAACUGGCAGUCUCGAGUUGGAGAGAAGUAUGCGGAAUGCGCGGUGUAGCGGUGAAAUGCAUAGAUAUCGCGCAGAACUCCGAUUGCGAAGGCAGCAUGCCGGCUCCACACUGACGCUGAGGCACGAAAGCGUGGGUAUCGAACAGGAUUAGAUACCCUGGUAGUCCACGCAGUAAACGAUGAAUGCUGGCUGUCCGGGGGGGAUUGACCCCUGGGUGGCGAAGCGAAAGCGAUAAGCAUUCCACCUGGGGAGUACGCCGGCAACGGUGAAACUCAAAGGAAUUGACGGGGGCCCGCACAAGCGGAGGAACAUGUGGUUUAAUUCGAUGAUACGCGAGGAACCUUACCCGGGCUCAAACGGGGAGUGACUCAGGCAGAGACGCCUGUUUCCCACGGGACACUCCCCGAGGUGCUGCAUGGUUGUCGUCAGCUCGUGCCGUGAGGUGUCGGCUUAAGUGCCAUAACGAGCGCAACCCCCGCGUGCAGUUGCUAACAGAUAACGCUGAGGACUCUGCACGGACUGCCGGCGCAAGCCGCGAGGAAGGCGGGGAUGACGUCAAAUCAGCACGGCCCUUACGUCCGGGGCGACACACGUGUUACAAUGGGUGGUACAGCGGGAAGCCAGGCGGCGACGCCGAGCGGAACCCGAAAUCCACUCUCAGUUCGGAUCGGAGUCUGCAACCCGACUCCGUGAAGCUGGAUUCGCUAGUAAUCGCGCAUCAGCCAUGGCGCGGUGAAUACGUUCCCGGGCCUUGUACACACCGCCCGUCAAGCCAUGGGAGCCGAGGGCGCUUGAAGU